GAUAAUUUAUCUCCGUGUUGUAGCUAACGCGUUAAGCACUCCGCCUGGGGACUACGGUCGCAAGACUAAAACUCAAAGGAAUUGACGGGGACCCGCACAAGCGGUGGAGCAUGUGGUUUAAUUCGAUGCAACGCGAAAAACCUUACCACUCCUUGACAUGGAGAUUAGAUCCUUCUUAACAGAAGGGCACAGUUCGGCUGGAUCUCGCACAGGUGCUGCAUGGCUGUCGUCAGCUCGUGUCGUGAGAUGUUGGGUUAAGUCCCGCAACGAGCGUAACCCUCAUCCUUAGUUGCCAGCGGGUAAGCCGGGCACUUUAAGGAAACUGCCGGUGGUAAACCGGAGGAAGGUGGGGAUGAUGUCAAGUCAGCACGGCCCUUAUGGGGUGGGCUACACACGUGCUACAAUGGUGACUACAAUAGGUUGCAAUGUCGCAAGGCUGAGCUAAUCCGUAAAAGUCAUCUCAGUUCGGAUUGUCCUCUGCAACUCGAGGGCAUGAAGUCGGAAUCGCUAGUAAUCGUGGAUCAGCAUGCCACGGUGAAUACGUUCUCGGGUCUUGUACACACUGCCCGUCACGCCAUGGGAAUUGGCUUAACUCGAAGCUGGUGCGCUAACCGAAAG
rnacentral:rRNA from 1 species